UGGGGAAUCUUCCGCAAUGGACGAAAGUCUGACGGAGCAACGCCGCGUGAGUGAAGACGGCCUUCGGGUUGUAAAGCUCUUUGAUCCGGGACGAAAGAGCCUGAGGUGAAUAGCCUAAGGAAGUGACGGUACCGGAAAAGCAAGCCACGGCUAACUACGUGCCAGCAGCCGCGGUAAUACGUAGGUGGCAAGCGUUGUCCGGAAUUAUUGGGCGUAAAGCGCGCGCAGGCGGCUUCCUAAGUCCAUCUUAAAAGUGCGGGGCUUAACCCCGUGAUGGGAUGGAAACUGGGAAGCUGGAGUAUCGGAGAGGAAAGUGGAAUUCCUAGUGUAGCGGUGAAAUGCGUAGAGAUUAGGAAGAACACCGGUGGCGAAGGCGACUUUCUGGACGAAAACUGACGCUGAGGCGCGAAAGCGUGGGGAGCAAACAGG
rnacentral:rRNA from 1 species